rnacentral:sRNA from 1 species
AUGGCUGUCGUCAGCUCGUGUCGUGAGAUGUUGGGUUAAGUCCCGCAACGAGCGCAACCCUCGUCCCUAGUUACCAGCGGGUCAUGCCGGGCACUCUAGGGAGACUGCCGGUGUCAAACCGGAGGAAGGUGGGGAUGACGUCAAGUCAUCAUGGCCCUUACGUCCAGGGCGACACACGUGCUACAAUGGCCGGUACAGAGCGUCGCCAACCCGCGAGGGUGCGCCAAUCGCUAAAAGCCGGUCUAAGUUCGGAUUGCAGUCUGCAACUCGACUGCAUGAAGCCGGAAUCGCUAGUAAUCGUGGAUCAGCCACGCCACGGUGAAUACGUUCCCGGGCCUUGUACACACCGCCCGUCACGCCAUGGAAGCUGGGGGGACCUGAAGUCGGUGGGCUAACCGCAAGGAGGCAGCCGCCAAAGGUCAAUUCAGUGACUGGGGCGAAGUCGUAACAAGGUAGCCGUAGGGGAACCUGCGGCUGGAUCACCUCCUUUCUGGAGUGACGAGUAGACGGCCCGGCUUGCCGCGGCCGCCGAAAGUCCUCAGAAGUCGCCCGCACUCUCCACUACUCGCUCGCAUCACUUCUUUCUUGUCGGGCCGUGCGCGGGCCGACCCGCUCUUUGACAAUUGAGGGAUGGAUGGUGUGUCCGGGCCUUCGGGCUCGGACGGGUGUGAGGAAUCAACACCGGUCGUCUCGAGCCGAUCGCAGGGUCGGGACGACAUGAGAUUUGAGAUCAAACGCAAUAAGGCACACGGCGGAUGCCUUGGCAUCGAGAGGCGAUGAAGGACGUGAUAAGCUGCGAUAAGCCUGGGGGAGCUGCACAUGAGCCGUGAUCCCAGGAUGUCCGAAUGGGGAAACCCGG